GCUUCCGUCAGAAGGACGCGGAGACUACGAGGAGGAAUGUUUCGGAGGCGCUGGAACCGGGGAGGUUCCCCGCGCUGGUUGUCAGCCGGCGUCCCAAGAAACGAAGCAAUGAAGGUGAAAGCCCAGCUGGAUAAUCGUUCAGUGAGAAGGACAAGGAGGAAGGGAAUUGAGGGUGUUGAUGAGACAAGAUCAUGGGACACAGAUGAAAAGGAACGAGAAAGAGAAACAUGUGGCUGCAUAUGCAGAAGACAAAGGAGAGGCCAGAGGCAGAGAUUGGAGCGAUAUGUCUAAAAAACAAGGAAUGCCAAGGAUGACAGGCAACCAUCAGAAGCCAGUAUGAUGCAAGGAAGGAUGCUGCCUCCUCCCAGCCUCCAAAACUGUGAGAGGAUACAUUGUUGUUGUUUUCAGCCCCCUCAUUUAUGGUAAUCUGUUAUGGCAGCUGUAGGAAAUACCUAUCGCUUUCCUGUGAUCUUAGAAAUGAACGAGGAUUUGCUCAGCUCCCCAACAGGCAGAGAAGAGCAGCAGCGUGCUCCGGAACCCUCGGUGAGUCAGGGCUGGAGGGUGGGGGUCAGGAUUCCUUCUUGGCCAAUCUUGUAUACCUGAGCCUUGGCUCUGAUCAUGGCACGUGCCUGCUCUAGUGCCUCCAGUGACUCACCACAGCUUAUGAGAUGCCUCUGCCUGCCAUUCAGGGCCAUCAGGAGUCAGGCCCUGGCCUGACCCAAACACAAAGAACAUAGGCUUUGGAGAUCUCGGGCAAAUUUCUUAACUCCUCCAAGCCGUGGUCCUUUCCCCCGGGAAAAUGAAGAGACUAGCACAGACCUGACAACACUCUUAGGAGCAUGAAAUCUUUGGACGGAUCUGACUCAGCACAGUGUGUGACAUGCAGUGGGAGCUCGGUACUUUUGCGUUCCCUCCUCUUGCCCGGUUGUUGGAUGUUCGACACUAACUGCCUUCUGCAUGGGCCCUUUUCCUCCUCUGGACCACUCUCCUGCCUCUGUCUACAGCAGUCUGCCCGUCCUUCCAUGCUCCAAGUCCACUUCCUCCCUCAAGAGGGCCCUGGUCUGGGCACUGUUUGACUACAAGUUAUUUCUCCUGCAAUGGGAAAUGGGCUGCCAGACUUUCAGAGACCCAAGUGCGAUCUCCGCCACUACAGAGAGCUGUCUCCCUGGUGGAGUCCCGUGACAGUCAUGCUUGACUCUAACGUCUUUGGGGGCCGUGAGAGCCAUUAGCAAAGUGCACUUUUCAUUAAGGGGUCCAGCGAGUGGCCACUCAGUCAAGUCACAGGGGGAAGUAUGUUUGGCUUUCUGCUCCUGUUCAGGUCAUCAAAUGAACCUAUGAGCCCCAAAGCAGCUCUUCCUAGAGGGGGAGCAAACGAAGGAUGUGCGUUCUACAUAUAUAUGUGUUUACAAGCUUCUGGCUUAGCUGGGCCCGGUGGCUCAAGCCUGUAAUCCCAGCACUUUGGGAGGCUGAGACGGGUGGAUCACAAGGUCAGGAGAUCGAGACCAUCCUGGCUAACAUUGUGAAACCCCGUCUCUGCUAAAAAAAAUACAAAAAACUAGCCGGGCGAGGUGGUGGGCGCCUGUAGUCCCAGCUACUUGGGAGGCUGAGGCAGGAGGAUGGCGUAAACCCGGGAGGCGGAGCUUGCAGUGAGCUGAGAUCGGGCCACUGCACUCCAGCCUGGGCGACAGAGCGACACUCCGUCUCAAAAAAAAAAAAAAAAAAAACCAACAACAAAAAAAACCCCAGAAGCUUCUGGCUUUACGUUUAGCCACAGGAAAGGGCCCUGGAUUGAGAUUCAGGCCACAUGGGUCCUCAUAUUGGUGUGGCCACUAAAUUACUGCAUGGCCAUGCACCUGUGCUGUCAGGGCCUCAGUUUCCUCAUUUGUAAAGCCAGGGGAGGUUGACUAGAUUAUCUUGAAGGGCCUUCCAGACAAGGCUCUUCCAGUUCUGACAGUCUGUGCUCGUGACGGUCCCAUGACUUUGAAAAUAAACACAUGGUUAAUGUUCAUUC
rnacentral:lncRNA from 1 species